rnacentral:sRNA from 1 species
UUGCAUUUGAAGCCCAUGAGGAUGAGAACCUCCGGGGGCGGGGAGGUUCGACUCGAGCGAAGCGAGAGAACGUUGCGCCAGC